rnacentral:lncRNA from 1 species
UCCUUUCUUAUCGUCUCUAUCAGCAUGUGGGCUCUAUCAGCAUGUGGGUGUGCUGUCAUUAGCACCCUGAGAGCACAACUGAACAAAACUGUAGCCCAGGGCAUUGAAAACCUCUCGGAGAGGGCCAGGUGUGACCAGGUACUGGGGAAAAAAUAAGAAGCUGCCAUCAGUUGAGAAGAUGGCCCUGGCAACUGGCUAUCAACUGAAAAUCCUGCAAAAGGAUAUUUCUCCUGUGAAGCAGCCCUGUGCCCAUCCUGCUGUGAUUCAGGAGUCUCGCAGAAGACAUCAGAAUGCCUUUCUCUGAGUCACAGUCUGUAUCUUCUAGAAAAGGCUGUCCAUCUUCACCCCAAGCCCACUGGCUCCUGAGAUACGACAUCCAGACCCAGUGCAGCUGGACCUGGCCCAGGAAAAGAAAUACAAGUCCUUCCGCCUUGGCAAAGAUGAUAGUACCGUUCCCUUCAGUGUUCCGGUUCUGCUCUAUUGGAUAAGUUCCGGUUUGACUAUGACUACGUGAAAAUGUGGAACCAGACCUUCACCCCACAUUCCAGCUCCAGCUCUACCACAGAGGAAGUGCAAUAUCACCUUAGUUAUUCAACACAUUAUGCUCCUCGUGAUACAACCAGAGUUCACAUCAGCAAUCUUGGCAGCUCUCACCACGCUGCUGACUCACGACUCUCUCAUGUCCCAAUUUCCUGUCCAUUGUUCUUUCCUCUACUUGGCCUGAUUUCUAAAGGCCUCUCUUGGUUGCAUUAAGCGGGAUUCCUGAGGGAUUCCCUUGGCAGUUACCUUGGGGGAGCUCUUAGGUUUGGGGCUGAUCCAUGUCCUCUAAAUGUAGGACUUCAAAGCUCCCAAAGAUAGGCAGGCCCAGUGGGAAGCUGGGAAAUGCUCUCUGACCCCUCUGGGAGGGCUGGCAGUCAGAGGGCCUUUUGGAAAGAGUCAGACCUGAUCCAUAAGUCCCUGGAAAACACCCUGCCCAGGGAGCAAAUGCCACUGUGGCCUUGACUGAGGCUUCAGAAGAGUUUGGGAGCUGCAAUUCAUCCACACACGCAUUCAUUUUCAAGUAGUGGUUUGCAGUUCAGGCUUUGGAGCCACAUAAGCCUGGCUUCAAAGCCACUUUCCAGCUUUGUAGGAAGUCUCUACAUUUUUAAACCUCCAUUUUUUUUUCCUGUAAAACUGGGGUCUUCAUGGUACUUAACUUCAUCGUGAUGUUGAGAGAAUGAAAAGAAAAAGGAUAAAUAAAUGGCUUAGCCUCGUGCCUUGGCACA